rnacentral:rRNA from 1 species
UUUAAGGGUCCGUAGGCGGUUUAAUAAGUCAGUGGUGAAAUCUGGUCGCUCAACGAUCAAAAGGCCAUUGAUACUGUUAGACUUGAAUUAUUAGGAAGUAACUAGAAUAUGUAGUGUAGCGGUGAAAUGCUUAGAUAUUACAUGGAAUACCAAUUGCGAAGGCAGGUUACUACUAAUGGAUUGACGCUGAUGGACGAAAGCGUGGGGAGCGAACAGGAUUAGAUACCCUGGUAGUCCACGCCGUAAACGAUGGAUACUAGCUGUUGGGAGCAAUCUCAGUGGCUAAGCGAAAGUGAUAAGUAUCCCACCUGGGGAGUACGUUCGCAAGAAUGAAACUCAAAGGAAUUGACGGGGGCCCGCACAAGCGGUGGAGCAUGUGGUUUAAUUCGACGAUACGCGAGGAACCUUACCAAGGCUUAAAUGUAGUUUGACCGGUUUGGAAACAGAUCUUUCGCAAGACAAAUUACAAGGUGCUGCAUGGUUGUCGUCAGCUCGUGCCGUGAGGUGUCAGGUUAAGUCCUAUAACGAGCGCAACCCCUGUUGUUAGUUGCCAGCGAGUCAUGUCGGGAACUCUAACAAGACUGCCAGUGUAAACUGUGAGGAAGGUGGGGAUGACGUCAAAUCAUCACGGCCCUUACGCCUUGGGCUACACACGUGCUACAAUGGACGGUACAGAGAGCAGCCACUUCGCAAGGAGGAGCGAAUCUAC